rnacentral:rRNA from 1 species
GACGAACGCUGGCGGCGUGCUUAACACAUGCAAGUCGAACGGAAAGGCCCUGCUUUUGUGGGGUGCUCGAGUGGCGAACGGGUGAGUAACACGUGAGUAACCUGCCCUUGACUUUGGGAUAACUUCAGGAAACUGGGGCUAAUACCGGAUAGGAGCUCCUGCUGCAUGGUGGGGGUUGGAACGUUUCGGCGGUCGGGGAUGGACUCGCGGCUUAUCAGCUUGUUGGUGGGGUAGUGGCUUACCAAGGCUUUGACGGGUAGCCGGCCUGAGAGGGUGACCGGCAACAUUGGGACUGAGAUACGGCCCAGACUCCUACGGGAGGCAGCAGUGGGGAAUAUUGCACAAUGGGCGGAAGCCUGAUGCAGCAACGCCGCGUGCGGGAUGACGGCCUUCGGGUUGUAAACCGCUUUCGCCUGUGACGAAGCGUGAGUGACGGUAAUGGGUAAAGAAGCACCGGCUAACUACGUG